rnacentral:lncRNA from 1 species
AUUGAGAGGUCCUGUCUAAAUGUGUCUCUGAGCUGGGAUUUCAUACAGCACAGGAAUCCCUCUGUAUUGAGAGGUCCUGUCUAAAUGUGUCUCUGAGCUGGGAUUUCAUACAGCGCAGGAAUCCCUCUGUAUUGAGAGGUCCUGUCUAAAUGUGUCUCUGAGCUGGGAUUUCAUACAGCAGGAAUCCCUCUGUAUUGAGAGGUCCUGUCUAAAUGUGUCUCUGAGCUGGGAUUUCAUACAGCAGGAAUCCCUCUGUAUUGAGAGGUCCUGUCUAAAUGUGACUCUGAGCUGGGAUUUCAUACAGCAGGAAUCCCUCUGUAUUGAGAGGUCCUGUCUAAAUGUGACUCUGAGCUGGGAUUUCAUACAGCAGGAAUCACUCUGUAUUGAGAGGUCCUAGGAGCUGUUGAGG